GUGGGGAAUCUUAGACAAUGGGCGCAAGCCUGAUCUAGCCAUGCCGCGUGAGCGAUGAAGGCCUUAGGGUUGUAAAGCUCUUUCGUGGGGGAAGAUAAUGACGGUACCAGCAGAAGAAGCCCCGGCUAACUCCGUGCCAGCAGCCGCGGUAAUACGGAGGGGGCUAGCGUUGUUCGGAAUUACUGGGCGUAAAGCGCGCGUAGGCGGACCAGAAAGUUGGAGGUGAAAUCCCAGGGCUCAACCUUGGAACUGCCUUCAAAACUCCUGGUCUGGAGUUCGAGAGAGGUGAGUGGAAUUCCGAGUGUAGAGGUGAAAUUCGUAGAUAUUCGGAGGAACACCAGUGGCGAAGGCGGCUCACUGGCUCGAUACUGACGCUGAGGUGCGAAAGCGUGGGGAGCAAACAGGAUUAGAUACCCGUGUAGUCC
rnacentral:rRNA from 1 species